rnacentral:rRNA from 1 species
NAAAGGGAAGCGCUUGUGACCAGACUUGCGUCCGGUGAAUCACCCAGCUCUCGCGGCUGGGGCACUUCGCCGGCACAGGCCAGCAUCAGCUUGCCGUCGGGGACAAAAGCUUCAGGAACGUNGCUCCUCUCGGGGAGUGUUAUAGCCUGUUGCAUAAUACCCUUCGGCGGGCUGAGGUACGCGCUCCGCAAGGAUGCUGGCGUAAU